rnacentral:rRNA from 1 species
GAUGAACGCUAGCGGCAGGCUUAACACAUGCAAGUCGAGGGGUAUAGUAGCAAUACUAGAGACCGGCGCACGGGUGCGUAACGCGUAUGCAAUCUACCUUUUGCAGAGGGAUAGCCCAGAGAAAUUUGGAUUAAUACCUCAUAGUAUAGCGACAUCGCAUGAUGAUGCUAUUAAAGUCACAACGGCAAAAGAUGAGCAUGCGUCCCAUUAGUUAGUUGGUAAGGUAACGGCUUACCAAGACGAUGAUGGGUAGGGGUCCUGAGAGGGAGAUCCCCCACACUGGUACUGAGACACGGACCAGACUCCUACGGGAGGCAGCAGUGAGGAAUAUUGGUCAAUGGUCGCAAGACUGAACCAGCCAUGCCGCGUGCAGGAAGACGGUCCUAUGGAUUGUAAACUGCUUUUAUACAGGAAGAAACCCUCCCACGUGUGGGAGCUUGACGGUACUGUAGGAAUAAGGAUCGGCUAACUCCGUGCC